rnacentral:rRNA from 1 species
AUUCGCGGCCUAUCAGCUUGUUGGUGAGGUAAUGGCUCACCAAGGCAUUGACGGGUAGCCGGCCUGAGAGGGUGACCGGCCACACUGGGACUGAGACACGGCCCAGACUCCUACGGGAGGCAGCAGUGGGGAAUAUUGGACAAUGGGCGAAAGCCUGAUCCAGCAACGCCGCGUGAGGGAUGACGGCCUUCGGGUUGUAAACCUCUUUCAGCAGGGACGAAGCGAAAGUGACGGUACCUGCAGAAGAAGGACCGGCCAACUACGUGCCAGCAGCCGCGGUAAUACGUAGGGUCCGAGCGUUGUCCGGAAUUAUUGGGCGUAAAGGGCUCGUAGGCGGUUUGUCGCGUCGGGAGUGAAAACUCAGGACUCAACCCUGAGCGUGCUUCCGAUACGGGCUGACUAGAGGUAUUCAGGGGAGAACGGAAUUCCUGGUGUAGCGGUGGAAUGCGCAGAUAUCAGGAGGAACACCGGUGGCGAAGGCGGUUCUCUGGGCUGUAACUGACGCUGAGGAGCGAAAGCGUGGGUAGCGAACAGGAUUAGAUACCCUGGUAGUCCACGCCGUAAACGUUGGGCGCUAGGUGUGGGCCUCAUUCCACGAGGUCCGUGCCGCAGCUAACGCAUUAAGCGCCCCGCCUGGGGAGUACGGAAU